CAGCAAUCUGAAUGAGAGUUAUAACGCUAGGUUAUAACGCUGGAUUUGCCUCCAACCCCGUCAGUCUACCAAUACCAAACGCGGACAGUUCCACCUAAUCGAGACCAGACUGCAAAUGUCCAGUGUAUCCUGUGGAACUUCCUGCUGCCACGAGAUCUGUACUGCUCUGUCGGCUGGUUACAGAUGACCAUGUGCAAGUCUACUAUGCUCCCUGGCGCCCUCUCGUGGACACAACCGCAUAUUUCAUACUUCAUAUCAGGUGCGAGAUGCGCUGGCCCUCGAAGUGGGCGUCCCUGGAGCGUCGCUGUUUACGGCGUUCCCGUCCCGGCAUUCCUGGCGUUCCCGCCGUCUCCGCCGCCGGGCCGCAGUGCUUCCUCUUCUCCCGCCGUUUCUGAGGACCGUUUCCGCGGUGAUCCGCGUCGCCCGGAGACGGAGCCGCCGCCGUCGCGGGAGCGGGUUCCCGGUCAGUCUCUCCCCCCCCUGCCGCGGGCGUCCCUCCGCUCGACGGCGCCUCGUCUUCCUCGGCGGUCCCGUUCUGUCCGUGCGGAACGUCCGCCGCUCUGAGGCCCAGCGUCGGCGGUUUGCCGUCUCCACCCGUCGGCCCGUCGGACGGCGGCACAGCGUCGGGGUCAGGGGAGGACACGGCGGUUUGUUUUGGAGCGGCGUCGGCCUGGUUACGGCGAGGAGUCAACGAGCUGGAGGCUUUGUGUUUCACGGGCCUCUUAGGAACCUGCACGUCCGACCCGGUACCUGCCGAAAUAGAACGCAUCGUCAGCGAAAACCGGCAACGAUGAACCCGGCAAAAUUUACUUUCCUCAAGAUGCAUUAUUUUUCUUAUCUUAUUUACAGAGAAAUACACAGAUAACAAGAGAGACCAAAGAAAAAAAAAAAAUCUAAUUUCUAACUCAAAUCGCAAUUAAUUUCUGUAUUUGUUUUUUAAUGCGAGCACUUCUUCGCUAAAUUACCUGCGAAUAUUGCGCUGGUUUCGGUUCCCUGGGAGCCAUCCGGGUUGCUCAGUGUGAACAGCUCGUAAAUGUCAUUGGAUUUGAAAAACCGUCGUUGUUUGGGGUCUUUAAGCACCCGAUUCGUCAGGAACUGUUUGAAGAUUUGUCUGAGGGAAUAGACCACAAUUGCAUUGCGUGAGAUUGGUUUCCUUCAAUGGCAUCCGGUACCGCGGUUAAAUGAUUAUCAUAACGGCCGAAAAAAAAACCAACGCGGCUAGUCCCGUAUCCGACAAUGUCACCCCACAGAACCGUUUAGCAGCUGGAGAGGGUGCAAUGGGUCAGGCGUUGGCCCUGAAUUAGUCAACCAACCUGCAAACAAACCCAUCAUCUCUCCAUCUUUGGGAAUUUCCGGCACCUUGAGAUCGAACGUCUGGAGUAACCGUCAUCUUUAAAUGAGCCAUACGCGCGUCUGUUUUUGACAUGUAAUAAUGGAGAACACCAUUUUGGUAAUAAUGUAUUGAAUUUCCGCAGAUGACAAUGAGGCAAUAAGGCCAAUAACGGGUACCUUCAUCUUUAAUGGACACCGAUAAAAAUCGAAAAUGCAAAUCAUAGUGCGCUCUGAAGAACAAUGUAUGUCAGUUAAUUCCACAACCAAGGCCCUCCAGAAAUCUUCUAUUAGAUGAAAAAGCACAUUGACAAGCAAAUAAAAACUGUACCAUGACCCAUUAAACAAAGCUAUAGCACUUUAAUGACAGCGAAAUAUACUGGAGGAAAAGGAAGACAUUUUGACGGUCCAGGUUGAAAAAGAGGAUGUUGGCCUGAUAGCCGAUUUGUUAUCUUAAAAUCUUAAAUAGUACAGUUAGACAAAUAAAUAAUUCAAAUAUCACAAAUAAAACUCUUUUGUUAGCAGCGUAUUUGUCUCUGAGUAGUUGCAGUCGUGAAAUAUGUACACUGCUUUAAGCCUGAUAAAUCACAUAAAUUACCUGAUCAAUCGCAAAUUUAAAAAACUUAACAAAACAGAUUUGUUUUUGUUUCUCAACCAUCUUGUUCCGAAAUGAUGAAUUAGCCUAGCCGAUACUGUACAUGAGUCAGUCAAAUUAGCCUAGCUGAUACUGUCUGUGGAUCUGUGGAAUUAGCCAAGCUGACACUGUAUG